rnacentral:rRNA from 1 species
GGAUUUCUGGUGGGAGCGAUCGGUCUGGCGCUUAGCGCGAGUACUUGCAUCGUCUCCGGCCAUCCUUGGGGAGAGUUUGUCUGGCAUUAAGUUGUCGGGCAGAGGAUCCUCAUCGUUUACUGUGAAAAAAUUAGAGUGUUCAAAGCAGGCUUAUGCCGUUGAAUAUAUUAGCAUGGAAUAAUAAGAUAGGACUUUGGUACUAUUUUGUUGGUUUGCGCACCAAAGUAAUGAUUAAUAGGGACAGUUGGGGGUAUUCGUAUUCCGUUGUCAGAGGUGAAAUUCUUGGAUUUACGGAAGACGAACUACUGCGAAAGCAUUUACCAAGGAUGUUUUCAUUAAUCAAGAACGAAAGUUAGGGGAUCGAAGAUGAUCAGAUACCAUCGUAGUCUUAACCAUAAACUAUGCCGACUCGGGAUUGGCGGGCGUUACUUUUUUGACCCCGUCAGCACCGUAUGUGA